CGUAGCGCGCAGUGGAUAUUAAUAUUAAUAUUUAUUUAAAUCUGUCUUCUAAUAUCGAAGCGAUAGUUUUGAGAUACCUCGUAUACUCGCAGCCAAUCCGGUCGCGGAAUAUUCCUAUGGCCGAGUGCGAAGGUGAGAACUUCUUUUUACUUUCGUGAAACACAUCAUCAUCCAAUUCAGGAUAAACCGGGAGUAGGCACGUAUUCAAGGUCGACAAGAGUGCGUACGUAUGGGUGUAUUGUGAUUCAUCCACCCAUGAAAGAAAGAACACGCCUUAAGACGCACGGAUGCGAGAGAAAAACAGACGGAGGGCUCAACUCGCAGCAAGUUCAUUUCCUUGACUUGCUUGUCGAUGUAACGCAUUCAGGACAAUAACGUUUCCCGAUAACCUUUCGCGCAUAAAUAAGCUCAAACUGAAUGGGAUCGAGCUGAAUAAUUUUUUACCGCAAACCUCAAACGUGACACUGACAAUCAGAAAUUUUAAUCUCGUGACAAAAUUGUGAAUCUUCUUAAAUAAAAACUAAGAUAAAUGUACCAAUGCCUGGACAGUCAGUGGACACGUACCUAUGUAUAAGUAUAACGCGAAUUAAAAUCAAAGAUAAAAAUAAUUUUCUCGUAUUUUGAAACUUUAGUUAUAGUAUCCAAACGUUAAUUCGCGUUAAUUAUACUUAUUUAAGGACUAAAAUGAUAAAGAUGUCCAAACAUAGGUACGUGUCUACUGACUGUUCAGGCAUUGAUACAUUUACCAAAUCCAAAAAGUUUUCAAAUUGAUAAUUUAUGCUUCUAUUGCAAAUCGGUGCAGUGAUUUAUGCCUCUAUUACAAUAGCGUUGUGAAAAUAAUCAAUUUAAAACCUGUUUACAGCGUAACAGUUUAUUUCAAGUUACGAAACAAAGAUUCGCCCUAAGUAUCGAUUGCAGUUAUGAGCUGGUUUUGAACCGAGGUUUCAGAAAUGUGUCGGGAAUAACUCUGCCAAAAAAAAGAAACUCCACCAGUUCGAAGACUUAGAGGCAUGAUUUGGAACUUCCUGCUCCCAUACUACGAAAAUCUCUCACAAGUUAUGAACAUAACGAGUGUGUGAAGCUCGUCAAAACCGGAAAGGAGCAGUUUCAGAUGAAGGUUUCCCGGCAAGCUCUCUGCCUGUGCCUGCGUGUCUCUCGUUUUAUUUUCCUUCAUAUCAGUCGGCGUCUUAUCGACUCGUGUCAACACAGAAUCAGCAACUCGAUCCUGCAAACUACGCUCUAUUUCCGGACCGUAGGAGCUAUUUCUACCGGAGUCUACACGAUUAUCUCUUCUAAUUCACGGCGGCCAUCGCGAGUCCGAUAGAUUCGCGCCUACGUCAAAACCAAGAUGUUAAUCAUUAUGCGAUCGGCAUUGUCAUUGGCAUUUUUUUAUAUCAGUAUAGUGUUAACAGUUUAUAAGAGCAGCUUUAGAUCUCUUUUAAGA